CCAGGGCCCUCAGCAUUGCAGGUACUGAAGGAUCUAUGGGAACAUCGAGACUUACCCUUGGACUCUCUCAGGUUGAAGCCUGCUGGAGUCCAUUGGCUAACUGAAGGUAUUUCUAAGUAUUAUUGUGUGCUGACAUUGGAUGUGAACACAUCUUACAGCCAGCUCAAGGUGUCAGAUGACCGCAGGACUGUCACUGAUGUGAAGACAAACCAGAACUAUCCAGAUCACCCACACAGGUUUGCUUACUGUCCUCAAAUCCUAUGCUCCACUCCUCUCACCGGCCGCUGCUACUGGGAGCUGUACUGGGAAGGAGAGGUUGAUAUAGCAGUGAGUUACAGAGGAAUAAGCCGGAAGAAACUUUCUAAAGUUUGCAAGUUUGGAAAAAAUGAUCAGUCUUGGAGCCUGAAGGUCUCUGAUCAUAAAUACACUGAAAGUCAUCCCAGAAGAAAAGCAUACCAGUCUCCAACCUCCUCUGGCCAUGUGGCAGUGUACCUGGACCAUUCUGCCGGUUCUUUGUCAUUUUUCAGUAUUGUCAAUGAAGAACUGGUUCAUAUUCACAC